rnacentral:hammerhead_ribozyme from 1 species
AUCCAUCUGAUGAGUUCCAAAUAGGACUAAACGCGCAUCCUGGAU